rnacentral:rRNA from 1 species
GUGGAUUUUUAGCCCUGGUGGGUAGCUUCCCGGAAACGAAAGUCUUCCGGUUCCGGGGGAAGUAUGGUUGCAAAGCUGAAACUUAAAGGAAUUGACGGAAGGGCACCACCAGGAGUGGAGCCUGCGGCUUAAUUUGACUCAACACGGGGAAACUCACCCGGCCCGGACACCGUAAGGAUUGACAGAUUGAUAGCUCUUUCAUGAUUCGGUGGUUGGUGGUGCAUGGCCGUUCUUAGUUCGUGGAUCGAUUUGUCUGGUUUAUUCCGAUAACGAGCGAGACUCUAGCCUACUAAAUAGUAACGAGAUUAUCAAUGUCUCAGUUGCUUCUUAGAGGGAUUUUCGGUGUUUAGCCGCACGAGAUUGAGCAAUAACAGGUCUGUGAUGCCCUUAGAUGUCCGGGGCUGCACGCGCGCUACACUGGCGAAAUCAGCGUGCUGUAUCCAUUCUCGAAAGGGAUUGGUAAACCCAUGAAAAUUUGCCGUGCUUGGGAUCGGAAAUUGCAAUUAUUUUCCGUGAACGAGGAAUUCCAAGUAAGUGCGAGUCAUCAACUCGCUCUGAUUACGUCCCUG